CACGUAGGGGCAAGCGUUGGUCCGGAUUUAUUGGGCGUAAAGAGCUCGUAGGCGGUUCGAUAAGUCGGGUGUGAAACCUCCAGGCUCAACCUGGAGACGCCACCCGAUACUGUCGUGACUAGAGUCCAGUAGGGGAGCGUGGAAUUCCUGGUGUAGCGGUGAAAUGCGCAGAUAUCAGGAGGAACACCAGCGGCGAAGGCGGCGCUCUGGGCUGGCACUGACGCUGAGGAGCGAAAGCGUGGGUAGCGAACAGG
rnacentral:rRNA from 1 species